AUUGAACGCUGGCGGCAGGCCUAACACAUGCAAGUCGAACGGUAACAGGAAACUGCUUGCUGUUUCGCUGACGAGUGGCGGACGGGUGAGUAAUGUCGGGGAAACUGCCUGAUGGAGGGGGAUAACUACUGGAAACGGUAGCUAAUACCGCAUAACGUCGCCAGCCCAAAGAGGGGGACCCUCUGGCCCCCUGCCUUCGGAUGUGCCCAGAUGGCAUUAGCGUGUUGGUGGGGUAACGGCUCACCAAGGCGACGAUCCCUAGCUGGUCUGCGAGGAUGACCGGCCACACUGGAACUGAGACACGGUCCAGACUCCUACGGGAGGCAGCAGUGGGGAAUAUUGCACAAUGGGCGCAAGCCUGAUGCAGCCAUGCCGCGUGUAUGAAGAAGGCCUUCGGGUUGUAAAGUACUUUCAGCGGGGAGGAAGGGAGUAAAGUUAAUACCUUUGCUCAUUGACGUUACCCGCAGAAGAAGCACCGGCUAACUCCGUG
rnacentral:rRNA from 1 species